rnacentral:rRNA from 1 species
AUUGAACGCUGGCGGCACGCCUAACACAUGCAAGUCGAGCGGCAGCAUGCUUAGUAGCAAUACUAAGUGAUGGCGAGCGGCGGACGGGUGAGGAACACGUAGGAACCUGCCCAAGAGAGGGGGAUAACUAAGGGAAACUUUAGCUAAUACCGCAUAGUCUCUGAGGAGAGAAGCUGCCCGCAAGGGUAGCGCUUUUGGAGGGGCCUGCGUCCGAUUAGCUAGUUGGUGAGGUAAUGGCUCACCAAGGCGAUGAUCGGUAACUGGUCUGAGAGGACGACCAGUCACACUGGGACUGAGACACGGCCCAGACUCCUACGGGAGGCAGCAGUGGGGAAUCUUGGACAAUGGGGGCAACCCUGAUCCAGCGAUGCCGCGUGGGUGAAGAAGGCCUUCGGGUUGUAAAGCCCUUUAGGCUGGGAAGAAGUGUGCGGGGUGAAUAAUCCUGUACAUUGACGGUACCAGCAGAAUAAGCACCGGCAAACUCUGUGCCAGCCGCCGCCGUAA